UGGUGUAGCUCAGAGGUAGAGUAUGCACUUAACAUGUGUGAGGACCUGGGUUUAGUCCCAGCAUCA
rnacentral:tRNA from 1 species